UCCACUCGAGUGAAAUUGAUAUGGACGAU
rnacentral:piRNA from 1 species